rnacentral:lncRNA from 1 species
ACCUCAAGUGAUCCACCUGCCCUGGCCUCCCAAAGUGAUGGGAUUAAAGGCGUGAGCCACUGCAUCCGGCCUAAUUUUUCUAUUUUUUUGUAGAGAUGGGGGGUCUUACUGUGUUGCCUAGGCUGGUCUCAAACUCCUGGGCUCAAGCAAGCCACCUGCCUCAGUCUCCAAAGUGCUGGGAUUACAGGCAUGAGCCACCACACCCACCCUGGUAAAUGUCAUCCUGGGGAUCCUCUAGGAGAAAACCGCACAGCUGCUGAACAAUGUGCACAACGGAGACCAACUCAAAAGAAAUCCUGUUGCACGUGAGCAGAUUGGAGAGCAGUGGGGGGUCAGCGCAGUGGAACUUAUUCCUACUCCCACCCCAACAAGAGCACCAGGCCUGUGCUGGCCCAGCCGCCCCUCCUCUCUGGGCACGCAGAGGCUCCCACUUCUGGCCUGGCAGUGGGUGGGUCCUCCAAGUUGCUCUGGCCAAUGGGCUGCAGGUGAAGUGAGCCAGGAUUGCCACUGGAGACCCUCUGGUGGCUGCCCCUGCAGAUGGUGACUGACGUUCAGGCCUGAAGCCUCAGCCAGCCCCAGAGUGCAGGGCUCUUGGGAAGGAAGGCCAUGUUCAAGCCCAUGAGACUUUGGGCUGUGCUGGCUGCACAGAGACGGCCCCUCCUGCCUUUGUGGGUGGCCACAUAUAUCCUGAAAGGGAUGAGUGUAUGCACAGAAUCUCUGUGGGAGGAGACAAGAGAAAAUGGUCACAGGA